rnacentral:rRNA from 1 species
UNGGCGGCGUGGUUAAGACAUGCAAGUCGAACGAGAGAAUUGCUAGCUUGCUAAUAAUUCUCUAGUGGCGCACGGGUGAGUAACACGUGAGUAACCUGCCCCCGAGAGCGGGAUAGCCCUGGGAAACUGGGAUUAAUACCGCAUAGUAUCGAAAGAUUAAAGCAGCAAUGCGCUUGGGGAUGGGCUCGCGGCCUAUUAGUUAGUUGGUGAGGUAACGGCUCACCAAGGCGAUGACGGGUAGCCGGUCUGAGAGGAUGUCCGGCCACACUGGAACUGAGACACGGUCCAGACACCUACGGGUGGCAGCAGUCGAGAAUCAUUCACAAUGGGGGAAACCCUGAUGGUGCGACGCCGCGUGGGGGAAUGAAGGUCUUCGGAUUGUAAACCCCUGUCAUGUGGGAGCAAAUUAAAAAGAUAGUACCACAAGAGGAAGAGACGGCUAACUCUGUGCCAGCAGCCGCGGUAAUACAGAGGUCUCAAGCGUUGUUCGGAAUCACUGGGCGUAAAGCGUGCGUAGGCUGUUUCGUAAGUCGUGUGUGAAAGGCGCGGGCUCAACCCGCGGACGGCACAUGAUACUGCGAGACUAGAGUAAUGGAGGGGGAACCGGAAUUCACGGUGUAGCA